AUACGGAGGGGGCGAGUGUUGUUCGGAUUUACUGGGCGUAAAGGGCGUGCAGGCGGUUUGCUAAGUCUAGGGUGAAAGCUCCCGGCUUAACUGGGAGAGGUCCUUGGAUACUGGCAGACUUGAGGAGGGUAGAGGAGAGUGGAAUUCCCGGUGUAGUGGUGAUAUGCGUAGAUAUCGGGAGGAACACCAGUGGCGAAGGCGGCUCUCUGGGCCCUACCUGACGCUGAGACGCGAAAGCGUGGGGAGCGAACCGGA
rnacentral:rRNA from 1 species